UUCAGCCCGUAAGGGCCAACAGAAAGAGUUGAGAGAGCAGCGAUGUGAGGGCUGGAGCUCCCUGUUCCUGCCCUGCAUCAUGGAAGCACUGGCAGGAUCCACCACGCACUUCUUGGUAGUUCUGGCCUCACCUUCCUCCUCACCCUGGGCCCGAUGUAGGCUUGGGGGCUGCCCUGGGAGCCCUUCACAGCUCGGGUUCCUGUCCAUGGAGACUGAUUCGGUGGAAGGGAGUUUCAGUGAGGAAAGAAUGAGGAAAAGACCGUGUUUAUUUCCUCCAUGAAGGAGCCUGAGGAUCUAUCUCAUUCAAAGACAUCUGAUUAAUAGCUCGACUGAAACAGCGUUGGAAAAUGUUCACAUCAUUUAUCAGUUUGGAGGAGAGAACUGAAAGCAAAAAAUAUGUUUGUUUUCAUUUGCUUCCCUUCUCUCCCCCCCUCCAUCCGUCCUCCUGUCCUCUCGUCCUCCCCGCAGGGAAGGAGGGCCGGCGGGGCAGGGACUGGCAGUGGGGAGCAGCCCUUCAGUGCACGGGCUUCCCAAACCCAAUUACAGGAGGCAUUGUUAGUUUUCAGCUGAAAAUUGGAACAUUUCAGCAAAUGGAAAAUUUUCUGUCAAGAUGUUCUUUUCUGUCCAAAACAUUCUUUUCCAGAAAACUGUUUUGAUGAAUAAAAUUUAAGUUAUUUCUGUCCUGGAAAACCUAGCUUGAGGUUCGGAUCCAAGCUCCAAGCUGGCCAGUUGCUCCUGGACCUCUUACAAUAGUUACACAUCUCCCUGUGAGCUGUGCCUAUAGGAUGCUUGGAGAAGAGCAAUAUGUUUGUUUUUAAUGAUGCUGCUGGUUUUCGCUAUAAAUUUAAACAAAGUGGGCGGUAUUGGAACCAGCUGCUAGAAUUUUUUUGUUUGUUUGUUUUCAUGAGAAAAAUGGUAACGUACUGCAAUAAAUUAAACAAUGUACAUAUUUUUACAUAGCGCUGUCUCUGAGCGUCUAGCUGCUCGGAAAUUACAGAAGCCGAGGGCAGCAUUCGGCCCUGUAUUCAUUUCACACGCACUGAAGUAAAGCGACAAAUGUUUCAGAGUAACUGGAUUUCCUUUUAAAGUGACACUUUAUUUGUGCUUGAAAAAUGUAAUGAGCCUUCACUAAGAGAUUUUUCUGGCUGUGUUCCUUCUUUAAUGACCUGCCCUUACAAAAUAAGCUAAGGAAAAAAAUAUAAUAAAACUAAAAAAAAAGAAAAGAAAAGAGGAAAAAAAAAAAACAACAAAUCCAUUUGGUCAACUUCUCUUUUCAUUACAUGGAGAGCAGCAACACUUCUGGAUGGGGAAAUAAAACGCAGAGCCUGGUAGGUUCCUGUUAAUUCCUCAGCACAUCCUUAAUUAGUGUUUUAUGGCUAAUCCUCAUCAUAUAUCUUAAAGAGUUUCACUUGAGCUGAUUCCCCACAAGUUUUAUUGCGUGCAGGAUGCUUGGCGUGGUGGUGGGUAUGGCUGUGGCUUCGGUGUGGAGGCAGAGCUGCUGAUCCUCAGAGAUGACUUGCUGGAGCUCGGUACCCCCAGGCUGCCUUUGCUCUGUGUGCCUGGUGUCAAAUUUGGGGAAGCAGCUGGUCACUUUGAGCUCAUCCUACGGGAAGCGGUGGGUGCAGGGGAGCGGUGGUGCUGAAAUGUGCUUCAGUGCUGGUUCUGCAGCCUCUAAUUGAGCUGCACGACAACACCACUCAGGAGCUAUCAAAAUAAAGCCUUUGAGGAGAUUUGUGUUAACAAGUUGGGAAGAAAUGGGGCUUUGUUGCAAGCGUGAUAUGCAGAUCAGGUGCCUUUCAGCAUUGCAAUAUUCUGCCCGGUGCUGCAAUUGAGAUAGCAAAGUAAAAAAAAAAAAAAAAAAAAAAAAAGCCUCUAUAAAAUGCACUGGUACUCUGGUACCCUGGAUGUGCUGUUUUGGAUGUUAACUAAAACCACUAAUUUUAGUGCCCUCAGUGUAUAAAAUACAAGUAUUUUACAAUUAGCAUCAGUAAUGGGAGCCGACUAGACUUCUCCCAGUAUCUAUAAUUGAAAAACACUAUAGGGUCCAUUAAGGCCAUUUAAAGUUGUGAUGCAGUCUGAUGGUAUUAAAUUAUUACAGGGAUCACACACGUGGCACUACAAGUUAAUGCCCACGACUGCGAGCAGCCACGCUGCGUGCUUUUUUGUCAACACUGCAGUACUUCACGACUAUCUCAAUUGUUUGUGAUAAUUUAGACUUAAUGCUGUGUACUUUUUUCAAGAAAUAUUACUAAUACUCAGCAGAGGGGCUGGGAAUUAGCAUUUGAUUAAAGCCAGCUUGGAAAUAAAUGCUAUUUGGUGGCCUCUCUCCGUGCCAUUCAGCACAAGUUUAUUUUGCAUUCAGAUAACCCACGUGGAAGUGAUGGGCUUUUCCUCAGUUUCAAAUGAUUUUCAGUAAUUAAACCCCAGAAGAAUGGCUCGCUGCUGUCCCCCCUCUCCCGGCGUUAUGAGGACAUUUGUCACCUCUGCACCUUCGGUGGCAGCCGGUGAGGCCCAGCCGAGCGAGGCUGUGGGGGGAUGGCCGGUAGGCCUUGCCACCUCCAGGCCGCGCUCCCCCGGGGAAAACCAAUCUGCCCGGGAGCCGCGUACAAUGUGGAUGGAAAUGAGACUCUCAAUUUCAAUUUGCAAAGUAAGAAAGUUGCAAGGCAGGGUUUGGGAAGGGGAAAUCCAAAUUGCCUAGCAUUUAAGCUGGAUGGUGCUGUGCGCUGAGCUAGGAGUAGCGCUGGCAGCAGCCCAGAGUGGGAUGCUGUGAGAAACUUCGCUGUCUGUAACGUGUGGUAGGUCAGAUUUAAAAAGGUGUAUUUGAAGAAGGGAAAAAGAAGACGAGUUCAGGGGUUGUUUCUCAGUUUUCUGGGCUGUUUCCCCUGCGCCAGUGGAUCCCAUUCUCAUUAUAAUAUGCUUCCUGUACUGCACACCAAAUAUUUUGUUAAGAACGUGACAGAAAUGUCAGCAUAAAUAAGUAGUAUCAGAGCUUUGCCAAACGUAUUAAAUGGUGCUCCCUGAUCAGAACAUAGCAGCGAAGUAGAAUCUGUCUGAGGGAAUACCCACAGAACGAGUGAGGAGCACAAACAUUAAUGAGCCUGAUAUAAAACAUUUUUAAAGCAUUUUUAUAGUUGCUAUAGAAACACCGUGGCCUUCACUCUUGCUAAUUAGUUGGAUUUUGCACAUUUUAUAUUUGAAAAUGCAAAUCGGUUUUCAUAAAUUAUUACUUAUUUUUCAUUUAUAUUUACAGUACCAUUAUCCAGAUACAUGCAGGAAGUCGGAGAUAUUAAUUAGUUAUACAACACAAAUAAGCAUGACAUUUAUGGUCACAAGACAUCUCUUGUUUCAAAUAUUCAUCUGGUAAAUGCUUGGAGGAACUGUGCAAAGAUUAAUGUCUUUGUGAGAGAAUUAGGUAAAUAUAAAUGAAUUGGGCCUAAUAAGUUUUUAAUAAAGUGCAUUUUUGGAGCAGGAGAAGAAAUAGCAUUGUUCUGGUCUAAGAAAUAUAUGUCCAUCUUUUCGUGGCUGUGGAGGGCUAAGGAUAUCAGUUAGAUUUUCCUCUUCUUCACACUGGUGGACAUAGAUGUACAUUGGUGCACGUCCAGGGCAGUCCUGUGGCUGAGACCAAUACGCACGGAUAGAGACCACUAUGCACGGUCCAGUACGUCACUGGGGUGGCGUGUUGAGCCCCAUCUCCUCUGCUUCCUAACGCCUUGUUUGAAGUGCUAUGCCAGUCAGUGUACCUUUCUGAUUUUGUAUGCAGUACUGCAGGAAAUACUCCAAAUUCUUCAAAUAAAACACACAGAAGCCUUUCUCUAAAUUUUUCGUUCACUAAAUACCCCAUUUGAGUCAGUGAGGGCAGAGCUGAGGAGAAGGCUGCAACGACCUGGCCGUGCUGGUGUGUCAGGGUGUGCAGAUUGCUAUGGAUGUGCUUCUGGAGGUUAUCUGGAAAUUCAGUCCUUCUUGUCCUUAUUUGAUCUGUGGAUUUGGCAUAUUUAGCAUACAAGCAAAAGCCUUUUUGGCACAGUGGUCUCAUGGAUUUUUUUUUUAUAGCGCUUUACUCAUUUUACUGUAUUGUUUUAGUGAUAAUCAAGGAUAACCUAUUUUUCUGAGUCUGCCGUUCCAUGUAAAUCUGUAUUUUUCCACAUGAUGGAUGUUCAAUAGUUGUAGGAAGACAUUUAAAUAACUGAGAAAUGUGGUUUAUUCAUGUUAUCUUGUUAAUCAAUGGCUUCCUUAAAUGUGUGUGCUCCGGACGGCACACACUAGGAUUUAAAUGAGUUUAUUAGCUGAGAAUAUGAACAGUGUGUUCAAGUCAAAUAUAUUUAAACCAUAUAAGUAAAAUAGUAACCAGAUUUACUUUAUGUGCUGCAAUGAAAAAGGGCAAAAGUUUGGAAAAAAGCUGCUUUUCUCUUUUGGAAAUUGAAACCGCUGCUAGCUGCGUACUCAUGCACAUAUGCUUUGUGUCGUCAGUAACAAGAACGCUGCGGUGAGCGGAUACCAAAGUGCUGCAGACAAUGCUAAUGGAACAGCUCCCCGAUCUAAAAACAUUUUUGUUGGCUAUUUGAUACUCGAAAUGCCAUCAGACAGCCAAUCUGAAAAGGGGAAAAAUUACAUUUCUGAUAUGUUACAUUGUGUUAAAUUGGAUUCUGUUGUCAUGCCAUGUACUGCUGUGUCAUUUCAUGUAUUGACUUUUAACCAGCUGGAGCUGCGUAGUCUUCAGAGAUUGCAAAGUGACAAAACCUGACCUGCGUUAUCGUUAGAGCAGUUGCAAUUCUCUUUUGGGGGUCUGGAAAGUGGAGGAGGAAUUCACUCCUAAGUAUUUAUGGAGCAAGAUGUAUGAAUAUGGAGUGCAUUUUUAUGCUGAUUACUGUCUUUCCUGCCAAGUGAAAGACCAGUGCCUGUGCAAGCGAGGUGGGAAGAGAGCUGCACAAACACAUGUCCGGGUCUUGUAAAGUGAGUCUGAACAGAGGAGGACAGGGUAGGCGUGGGGAGGGAUUUUCUGCUGUGGGGUUGUAUUAGUCUAGAAGUGAGCUGCCAAACUUUUUGCUCCGAGUUCUUCCCACAGCAUCUUCUCCUACUAUUCUUCCAUAUGCAGCAUUCGUCCAGUAGAUGAGGUGGUAGAUGGCUAGAUUGAAUUUACCCCAAAGUUUGGUGUGUCUCUGCUGUGCUGGUGGGUGUUCCAGUGCGAUGGGUGGCUGAGCAUCUGCAGAGACAGCUGGCUCUGCUUUACACGGCUUGAGGCGUGGGCUAAAAUGGGGAGAAGAAUUUCAUCCCUUUUAAUGAGCUCCAAAAAAGUGUCACUGCAUAGAAAUUACAGUGAUAAGGCCAUCAGAAAUGCUUAAGUAGACAAUGAUACAUUUUAACUCCUCAAAAAAAAAAAAAAA